UACGUAGGGUGCGAGCGUUAAUCGGAAUUACUGGGCGUAAAGCGUGCGCAGGCGGUUUUGUAAGCCAGAUGUGAAAGCCCCGGGCUUAACCUGGGAAUGGCAUUUGGGACUGCAAGGCUGGAGUGUGGCAGAGGAGACUGGAAUUCCUGGUGUAGCAGUGAAAUGCGUAGAUAUGCGGAGGAACACCGAUGGCGAAGGCAAUCCCCUGGACCUGCACUGACGCUCAUGCACGAAAGCGUGGGGAGCAAACAGG
rnacentral:rRNA from 1 species